CGCGUAGGCGGCCUUCUAAGUCAGACGUGAAAUCCCCCGGCUCAACCUGGGAACUGCGUCUGAUACUGGAGGGCUUGAAUGCGGGAGAGGGAUGUGGAAUUCCAGGUGUAGCGGUGAAAUGCGUAGAUAUCUGGAGGAACACCGGUGGCGAAGGCGGCAUCCUGGACCGACAUUGACGCUGAGGCGCGAAAGCUAGGGUAGCAAACGG
rnacentral:rRNA from 1 species